AUAAGAUCUUAUCCAGUCAGGAGGUACUGGACCAAUCUGAAGUGCAGCCAAGACCGGGAGCCACAGACCUGGAACCUGGGUACUCAAAGAGUUGUCCACGUGCCAGCAGCACUGGCCCCUCCAGGAGCUUGUUAGAAAUGUAGAACCUCAGAGCCUACAUUAAAGAUAUUGAAUCGGAGUCUGCACGUCACAUCUGAGAAGCCAUGAGCUAAGCUGAUGCCAUUCAGCUGGGUAGCAUCGCAGUCACUGUGCAACUUUUAAACCUACAGCUGCCCAGGCCCACUGCAGACCUGCUAAAUUCGAGCUCCUUGUAGUGGGGCCAGGGCCCUGGGACUUCACACAAAACUCUGCAAGUCAUCACUGAUGAGAAAACCAAGACUCGAUGAGGUAAAGCAACUUCCCCCACCACGAAACCUAGUCCUGUGUGAGGGAGCCAGGGGUAUUUACAUUUUCCUAAUUUACAUCCUUUUAAACUGCAUUUUUCAGAGUCUCCUGAGCUCGGGGGAAGAAGCUGCAUAACCGGCACACUUCCAGAAAGGACCGAGGAAGAGAGCGUCGCUUCAGCUAGGGAUCUGAUUAGUCAUGCCUGGUCUCAGCAGACCAAAGCAAGUUAUUUUCUGAUGAAAGGAUUUCAUCAAACCUUGAUGCUCACUUGGAUUUUUAAGUGGAACAAGGUCACUGUGUCUCUGUGCAGUUGCAUCAUGCAAUCCUAAUGAGAGAGGCUUCUCAGUCACUCCAAAUGUGACCAUGUGUGCAGAUCCUCAUGUUCUCAGACACCAGCCCCUUCUCCCAGACUGGCUUGCUCCAAACUGCAAUCCUCUGAGGCCCAUCAUCAGUGCCCUGGUCUGAGGCACAUGGAGUGUGUCACCCAGAAUUAUUGGAAUGGAAAUGCACUGAUCCUCAAAAGAGGCAAUCACCAUUACACCAAGGGAGCUUCUAUGGCUUUCUAUUUGAUUGCAGUUCUAUUCCAGGAGGCUGCCACUCUGUUAUGCCCAGGUUAGGUUCAUGAAGUGGAUUCCUGAAAUGCUGCGAUUCACAGAGGGUUUCCUCUCAUGUGUGACUGAAUUUAUCAAAAUGUUUAAUAAAGCUACGUGAUCUCCCACAGGACUUGGCUGCACAGCAUCGCAGGUCCACCAGAGCUGCCUCCCUCCCUGAGUCAACGCGUCCCUGAAGAUACACAGCUUAUGUCAGCAGCACAGACCUGCAUCCCCCAUGGUGACUCAGUUUACAUUCCGUACCCUUGCCCCUGCAUGGGGGUCUUCUUGGAAACUCUGAGACAAGUUGGCUAGGUUAGGUGUCCCCUGAUCUCAAUCUUGCCCAGCCCUAUGUGAACUUAGGUCUCUGGAGACUAAGAAGCCCCAUGGGCAGAGGAGGAGGAGCAGCAAAGGCCCCAAGCAUGAAGUGAUUUGGGGGGAGGAGAGAGGAGUUUCCAGGGAGGGUGAGCACCCCAUCCCCACUGCAGCACUGUCCCUCUGCCAAUGCACAUGAUACAGCUGGAGUCCUUCCUCCCGCCUGGCUGUGCAGAGUGGCCCUGGGACCUCUAGGUGAGCAGAGAGCGGGAGGUGCAGCAGAUGGAGUCAGGCUCCUUAUACUCUCUCCUCACUGCUGUGGAGGAUAUAAGCAGGGGCCACGUGGCUUCAGAGCCUCCUGUUCCUCCCCUUCCCCGAAUUCCUAUCAACAGCUAACCAAAUCCCUGCAAACACCCACUCUCCAAGCACCUGCUAAGAACCAGGGGUCUUUGGCAGAGGACUCCCCUUGCAGUGGGUGCUCAGAGCCCACUGAUCUUGCCCCUCCACUGGCCCGGCUGUGGGAGCUGGCAGCUGGCAGUGGAACCAGAACUUAGGAAGGUAGGAUGUCAGCUUGGAGC
rnacentral:lncRNA from 10 species